CGGGGUGUAGUUCAGAUGGCCAGAACGCACGGCUGGGGGCCGUGAGGUCGCCGGUUCAAGUCCGGCCACCCCGA
rnacentral:tRNA from 4 species